rnacentral:rRNA from 1 species
UACAGAGGGGGCGAGCGUUAUUCGGAAUUAUUGGGCGUAAAGGGCGCGUAGGCGGCUUUGCAAGUGACGGGUGAAAGCCCUCGGCUUAACCGAGGAACUGCCUGUCAGACUGUGAGGCUUGAGUCCGGGAGAGGUGAGUGGAAUUCCCAGUGUAGCGGUGAAAUGCGUAGAUAUUGGGAGGAACACCAGUGGCGAAGGCGGCUCACUGGACCGGAACUGACGCUGAGGCGCGAAAGCGUGGGGAGCAAACAGG